GCGGGGGUCGCCCAGCCUGGUCAACGGCGUGAGGCUCAGGACCUCAUCCCUUAGGGGUUCGAGGGUUCAAAUCCCUCCCCCCGCACCA
rnacentral:tRNA from 1 species